rnacentral:rRNA from 2 species
UACGUAGGGUGCAAGCGUUGUCCGGAAUUAUUGGGCGUAAAGAGCUCGUAGGCGGUCUGUCGCGUCUGCUGUGAAAACUCGGGGCUUAACCCCGGGCCUGCAGUGGGUACGGGCAGACUAGAGUGCGGUAGGGGAGACUGGAAUUCCUGGUGUAGCGGUGAAAUGCGCAGAUAUCAGGAGGAACACCGGUGGCGAAGGCGGGUCUCUGGGCCGUAACUGACGCUGAGGAGCGAAAGCAUGGGUAGCGAACAGG